UACGAAGGGUGCAAGCGUUACUCGGAAUUACUGGGCGUAAAGCGUGCGUAGGCGGUUUGUUAAGUCCGUUGUGAAAGCCCUGGGCUCAACCUGGGAAUUGCAGUGGAUACUGGCGAGCUAGAGUGCGGUAGAGGAUGGUGGAAUUCCCGGUGUAGCGGUGAAAUGCGUAGAGAUCGGGAGGAACACCCGUGGCGAAGGCGGCCAUCUGGACCAGCACUGACGCCGAGGCACGAAAGCGUGGGGAGCAAACAGG
rnacentral:rRNA from 1 species